UUGGAGGGCAAGUCUGGUGCCAGCAGCCGCGGUAAUUCCAGCUCCAAUAGCGUAUAUUAAAGUUGUUGCAGUUAAAAAGCUCGUAGUUGAAUUUCGGGAUUAGUACGUCGGUCGUGCCUUAGGUACAUACUGGUGUUACUGGUUCCUACCUUCUGACGAACCAUCAUGUCAUUAAUUUGGUGUGGUGGGGAGUCAGGACUGUUACUUUGAAAAAAUUAGAGUGUUUAAAGCAGGCUCGCGCUUGAAUACAUUAGCAUGGAAUAAUGAAAUAGGACGUUGAUCCUAUUUUGUUGGUUUCUAGGAUUGACGUAAUGAUUAAUAGGGAUAGUUGGGGGCAUUAGUAUUCAGUUGUCAGAGGUGAAAUUCUUGGAUUUAUUGAAGACUAACUACUGCGAAAGCAUUUGCCAAGGAUGUUUUCAUUAAUCAAGAACGAAAGUUAGGGGAUCGAAGACGAUCAGAUACCGUCGUAGUCUUAACCAUAAACUAUGCUGACUAGGGAUCGGAUGAUGUUAAUUUUUUAAUGACUCAUUCGGCACCUUACGGGAAAC
rnacentral:rRNA from 1 species